CCUACGGGUGGCAGCAGUGGGGGAUAUUGCACAAUGGGGGGAACCCUGAUGCAGCGACGCCGCGUGGGUGAAGAAGCGCCUCGGCGCGUAAAGCCCUGUCAGCAGGGAAGAAAAUGACGGUACCUGAAGAAGAAGCCACGGCUAACUACGUGCCAGCAGCCGCGGUAAUACGUAGGGUGCAAGCGUUAUCCGGAUUAAUUGGGUGUAAAGGGGGCGCAGGCGGCGGUGCAAGGCAGGAGGGAAAGCCCGGGGCCCAACCCCGGUACUGCUCUUGAAACUGCUUGGCUGGAGUGCAGGAGGGGCAGGCGGAAUGCCUGGUGUAGCGGUGAAAUGCGUAGAUAUCAGGAGGAACACCGGUGGCGAAGGCGGCCUGCUGGACUACAACUGACGUUGAGGCCCGAAAGCGUGGGGAGCAAACAGGAUUAGAUACCCGUGUAGUC
rnacentral:rRNA from 1 species